rnacentral:rRNA from 1 species
CUAUUGGAGAGUUUGAUCCUGGCUCAGGACGAACGCUGGCGGCGUGCAUAACACAUGCAAGUCACGGGGGCCAGCAAUGGCAACCGGCGAACGGGUGCGUAACACGUAAGCGACCUACCUCGAUGUGGGGCAUAGCCGGCCUAACGGCCGGGUAAUUCCGCAUGUGAUCCUUGAGGGGCAUAUCUCGGGGAUGAAACCAGUAAUGGGCAUUGAGAGGGGCUUGCGGCCUAUCAGCUUGUUGGCGGGGUAACGGCUCACCAAGGCGACGACGGGUAGCUGGUCUGAGAGGAUGGCCAGCCACAUUGGGACUGAGAAACGGCCCAGACUCCUACGGGAGGCAGCAGUGGGGAAUCUUGCGCAAUGGCCUAACGGCUGACGCAGCGACGCCGCGUGAGGGAUGAAGCUCCUCGGAGUGUAAACCUCUGUUGCCCGGGACGAAUAGCGGAUUUUUCCGACUUGACGGUACCGGGUGAGGAAGCACCGGCUAACUCCGUGCCAGCAGCCGCGGUAAUACGGGGGGUGCGAGCGUUGUCCGGAAUCACUGGGCGUAAAGGGCGCGUAGGUGGCUCUGUAAGUUUGCGGUGAAAGCCCGGGGCUCAACCCCGGGUCUGCCGUGAAUACUGCAAGGCUUGAGUAGUGUAGAGGCAGGUAGAAUAUCGGGUGUAGCGGUGGAAUGCGUAGAGAUCCGAUAGAAGACCGGUGGCGAAGGCGGCCUGCUGGGCACUAACUGACACUGAGGCGCGACAGCGUGGGGAGCAAACAGGAUUAGAUACCCUGGUAGUCCACGCCGUAAACGAUGGGUACUAGGUGCUUGGGGGAGCGACCCC